CAAGGAAUAGUUUAAUUAGAAUUUCAGCUUUGGGAGUUGAUGGUGAAGUGUAUUCUUCUUCCUUGA
rnacentral:tRNA from 1 species